AUGUGGUGGUGUUUGCUGUGAUGUGUAGUGUGCAUUUGUGUGAAAUGCACUCUGUAAGUGUACUUAAAAUGCUUGUGUUCGAAGGCUCGUGUAAAUGAGUGUUCAAUGCGUCUUUUAAUUAAUAAAUCCAGGUGUGAGGUGUGGACGCAUGUGGCCAGCUUAUGUGCUGGCAUAGAGGACUGGCUAAGGUGUGUGUCUGGGACAGAGAUCACAGAUGUGUGUGGGUGCAGUGUGUGAAAGCACCGGGUGACCUAAAGGAACCCAGGCUACCCUUGCCCUGGUGGGGGGAAGGGUGGGCCGAACUUUGAACCAGGAUUGGGACCAGGAAGGAGGUAGGGGCCGGGGCGAACCCCUGCAGGGGCGCCAGAGGGCCUGAUCUCCUGCCAACGCUGAGCCUGCCAGGUCCGCUGGGGCAGGGUAUGAACUUACCAGACUGCUUAGAGGAACGAAGAGGAGGGCAUCGCACACGAGAUGUGGCCAGGUCCUUUUACUGCUGAGUUGAGUGAAUACAUAUAAAGACAGCAAGAACCAAGGACAACAAAAACCUAUCAACAAGAUAAGAAAAGAUAG